UACAGAGGUCUCAACUGUUGUUCGGAUUCAUUGGGCGUAAAGGGUGCGUAGGCGGCGGGGUAAGUCAGGUGUGAAAUCUCGGGGCUCAACCCCGAAACUGCACUUGAUACUGCCUCGCUUGAGUACUGGAGAGGAGACUGGAAUUUACGGUGUAGCAGUGAAAUGCGUAGAUAUCGUAAGGAAGACCAGUGGCGAAGGCGAGUCUCUGGACAGUUACUGACGCUGAGGCACGAAGGCCAGGGGAGCAAACGGG
rnacentral:rRNA from 1 species